GGCUUAACACAUGCAAGUCGAGGGGCAGCAUUUCAGUUUGCUUGCAAACUGGAGAUGGCGACCGGCGCACGGGUGAGUAACACGUAUCCAACCUGCCGAUAACUCGGGGAUAGCCUUUCGAAAGAAAGAUUAAUACCCGAUGGCAUAAUUAGACCGCACGGUCUUAUUAUUAAAGAAUUUCGGUUAUCGAUGGGGAUGCGUUCCAUUAGGCAGUUGGUGAGGUAACGGCUCACCAAACCUUCGAUGGAUAGGGGUUCUGAGAGGAAGGUCCCCCACAUUGGAACUGAGACACGGUCCAAACUCCUACGGGAGGCAGCAGUGAGGAAUAUUGGUCAAUGGGCGCAGGCCUGAACCAGCCAAGUAGCGUGAAGGAUGACUGCCCUAUGGGUUGUAAACUUCUUUUAUAUGGGAAUAAAGUUUUCCACGUGUGGAAUUUUGUAUGUACCAUAUGAAUAAGGAUCGGCUAACUCCGUGCCAGCAGCCGCGGUAAUACGGAGGAUCCGAGCGUUAUCCGGAUUUAUUGGGUUUAAAGGGAGCGUAGGUGGACAGUUAAGUCAGUUGUGAAAGUUUGCGGCUCAACCGUAAAAUUGCAGUUGAUACUGGCUGUCUUGAGUACAGUAGAGGUGGGCGGAAUUCGUGGUGUAGCGGUGAAAUGCUUAGAUAUCACGAAGAACUCCGAUUGCGAAGGCAGCUCACUGGACUGCAACUGACACUGAUGCUCGAAAGUGUGGGUAUCAAACAGGAUUAGAUACCCUGGUAGUCCACACAGUAAACGAUGAAUACUCGCUGUUUGCGAUAUACAGUAAGCGGCCAAGCGAAAGCAUUAAGUAUUCCACCUGGGGAGUACGCCGGCAACGGUGAAACUCAAAGGAAUUGACGGGGGCCCGCACAAGCGGAGGAACAUGUGGUUUAAUUCGAUGAUACGCGAGGAACCUUACCCGGGCUUAAAUUGCAUUUGAAUAUAUUGGAAACAGUAUAGCCGUAAGGCAAAUGUGAAGGUGCUGCAUGGUUGUCGUCAGCUCGUGCCGUGAGGUGUCGGCUUAAGUGCCAUAACGAGCGCAACCCUUAUCUUUAGUUACUAACAGGUCAUGCUGAGGACUCUAGAGAGACUGCCGUCGUAAGAUGUGAGGAAGGUGGGGAUGACGUCAAAUCAGCACGGCCCUUACGUCCGGGGCUACACACGUGUUACAAUGGGGGGUACAGAAGGCAGCUACCUGGUGACAGGAUGCUAAUCCCAAAAGCCUCUCUCAGUUCGGAUCGAAGUCUGCAACCCGACUUCGUGAAGCUGGAUUCGCUAGUAAUCGCGCAUCAGCCAUGGCGCGGUGAAUACGUUCCCGGGCCUUGUACACACCGCCCGUCAAGCCAUGAAAGCCGGGGGUACCUGAAGUACGUAACCGCAAGGAGCGUCCUAGGGUAAAACUGGUAAUUGGGGCUAAGUCA
rnacentral:rRNA from 1 species